CUUUCGAUUGUAGCAUUUCUCCUUUCAGGAUACAGUACGGGAUCCUUUCUGGAAUGGAGGUCUUAUGAGCUGCUAUUGAACACGGCAGAGCCUGUUGGUGACCUGCACACAGGAGCCCUCCAGUCAGUACUGAUUGAAUUACUCAAGGCUGCCUCUCUGCAAAGUUGAGGUAGCUCAUGGUGCUCCCUUCCUUGGUGCAGACGGGCAGUUCAAACCACACAAACUCCAGCCUGUGGGAGAGGGAUCCUUCAUCCUGGACGCACCUGCCCUCUGCCCAGCCACUAUAAAAACCAGAGCCACGUGCCCCUUCUUUUGCUUGAGUGUGGGCCCUGCUGUCCCCAGAAAGCCUCAUUACGAGUCAGUGACCUUCGAGGAUGUGGCCGUCUACUUCUCUGAGAACGAAUGGAUCGGCCUGGGCCCUGCUCAGAGAGCCCUGUAC
rnacentral:lncRNA from 10 species